rnacentral:rRNA from 1 species
AGGUGCGAUCAUUCCAGCAAUAAUGCAGCGGAUCCCAUCAGAACUCCGAAGUUAAGCUUGCUUGGGCGAGAGCAGUACUAGGAUGGGUGACCUCCUGGGAAGUCCUCGUGUUGCACCUCUC